UUUAUCAAGAAAAGUGGAGGGAAAUGGCCCUAAGAAACUUUAGCAACCUGAUUACAAUCAAGGUGCUAAUUCCAUCCUGUUAAGGGAAGAUAA
rnacentral:ncRNA from 1 species